GAACGAUGGGCAACCAACCAAGCUGUAAGUGGUCAUAAUACUUAUGAUACUAUGUGAAUUAGGCUGCUUAUGAUAUAUUACCUCUUUUUCUCCUCUGUAAUUGUUAUAAAGAGUGAAUUUCACUUAAUUUGUUUGUUGACUUUGUGAUGUUAAUGGUAAUUCAAGUAAGUGCUAUAAAGACAUUAUGUGAUGUGUUUAUAAUUUGGAAUCAUCUUUUGGUGUCUUGGAUCUGAAUUUUUAGGUUGAUUUUGGACUUGAGAAGCAGAAAAGAAAGGCCUUAGAUAUUAGCAUUUGGCAUGUGGAACUUUUCGCUGCUUUAUGUUAGGCUUGGCAACUUUUUCCCUGUCCUUAUGGGUACCAGCCUUACUCAACUUUAAUGGGGCAGAUAAAACCCACCCUCGAUAUAUAUGAUGUUUAAAUAAUUUUUUUUGUAAUAUUAUUAUUACUUUUUUGGGUAAAUAAGAAACUAUUCAUUUAUAUGUAUAUUAUAUGUAAAUAUAUAGUAUUUAUAAUAUUUAUUCCUUUUUUUAACUUGAAAAAAGGUAAUAUUUUCUUCACCCAAAAUUAGGAUGGAGAGGGCAUCGGUAUGCUGAGUACUGUAUAUCAAACCCUUUGCUAUAAAUUUUCUGUGUCUGGUGCAAUUUUAACAAGUGACCAUGCUUACUGAUACAGUAAUAUAAACCUGAGCAGUAAUCUUGGAGAAAAGAACCUAGUCUUUAAUGCAUUUAGAUAUGCUGAAGCACUUAUUCUUUAAUCAAAUCAGAAUAAGAUUUAUUAAUUUCUUUUAUCAAUUACUGUGCUUGUUGAUAUAGUUAUUGUUAACAUUUGUGGUGAUCUUUGAGAAAAGAACCUAGACUUAAAUGCAUGUAGUUUUUUGCACUGGGGCACCCUUUUUUUUUUAAAUAGAAAAUAGGAUUUAUUAAUGAUUUAUUUUGGACUUGGAGUGUUUAUUUAUUUGGAAUGCUUGGUUAGGUAGUGGUGCUUCAAAGUGAAAAUUGCCCUCUAGGCAUGAAGUUCUCAUUUUGCCUGGGGCACUAUUUCCCCAAAUGUGUUCAUAAUUGAGCAAUGCCAUGCAUUUGAGCAAAGCAAUAAACAAAUUGCUAAUAAAAAAAUUGUUUGAUAAGCUUUGUUGAAUUUUAAAUCACAAUUUCUUGAAUAGCUUUAUGAUUUUUUUAAUCAUAAAUAGUGAAGAACCUUGUUCUGAAUAGUGAAAUGACCCAGACAUUUGUUUGCAUAUCCCUAGGAGAAGCAUUCAAUAAUGUUAAAGUCACGUGCAGG
rnacentral:misc_RNA from 1 species